rnacentral:rRNA from 2 species
UACGUAGGGUGCAAGCGUUAAUCGGAAUUACUGGGCGUAAAGCGUGCGCAGGCGGUUAUACAAGACAGAUGUGAAAUCCCCGGGCUCAACCUGGGAACUGCAUUUGUGACUGUAUGGCUAGAAUCUGGCAGAGGGGGGUAGAAUUCCACGUGUAGCAGUGAAAUGCGUAGAUAUGUGGAGGAAUACCGAUGGCGAAGGCAGCCCCCUGGGCUAAGAUUGACGCUCAUGCACGAAAGCGUGGGGAGCAAACAGG